CUCCGGCGAGUUCCGGGUGAAUGACGCCCUGAGGGGGCGCCCGGCGGGCGCGGUAUCGCUGAUCGCACAGCGGCUGGGGC
rnacentral:tRNA from 1 species